rnacentral:lncRNA from 1 species
GAGAAAUUCUUAGCUUGAGUAGUGAAGACUACAACACCUGGAAUUCAUUUGCAGUGAUUAAAUAUCUGUGUUGUUACACAAAAGUGAAAUCCAAUUCCAAACUUUUGCAAAAAAUUUCAAAAAGCCUCAGAUUUAUUCUUGGAAAGACAAGGAAGCAGAGUGCUCAAAGAGUGACAGACUGAAAGUGAUGAAAACAAGAAAGUAAGAAGGUCUAGCAGGACAAGUAUUAGCCAUCCAGGAAAAUUCAAAGAAGCACAGCUAUCUACAAGCCAUUUAAAAAUGCCUAGAAAGCCUUGGACAAGAAGAACAUGGAAUUAAUGAAAGAGCUGCAGAAUAGAAAGCUGAAAAUUUGACAGAAUAAAUCCUCUAGCUGGGUUCAUGUUCUCAGCAGAUCACGUACAAAUGGGACCUACAGUAUAGUCAGUGGGCUAUAAACACAUCUGCCAAUGAAAAUUACUUGGAUAUAC